GGCGGCAUGCCUAACACAUGCAAGUCGAACGAAGGCUUCGGCCUUAGUGGCGCACGGGUGCGUAACGCGUGGGAAUCUGCCCUUAGGUUCGGAAUAACAGCUGGAAACNGGCUGCUAAUACCGGAUGAUAUCGCGAGAUCAAAGAUUUAUCGCCUGAGGAUGAGCCCGCGUUGGAUUAGGUAGUUGGUGGGGUAAAGGCCUACCAAGCCGACGAUCCAUAGCUGGUCUGAGAGGAUGAUCAGCCACACUGGGACUGAGACACGGCCCAGACUCCUACGGGAGGCAGCAGAAGGG
rnacentral:rRNA from 1 species